rnacentral:ncRNA from 1 species
UUUUUCAUAGGCGAUGGGGUUCCGCCUUACAACCGCCCAUUUUUGGUGCUGAUGACUCCUACUUCAAC